rnacentral:tRNA from 1 species
GGGGUUGUAGCUCAGUAGUAGAGCGCUUGCCUCACAUACAUGAAGCACUGGGUUCAAAUCUCAGCACCACA